UUAGGAAUGAGUAGAACUCUAGAUGACAACAUGGUUGUAGAUUGUGGGGAAGGGGAGAAGUCACACACAACUACGUGCAAACAUAGUACUAAGCCAUUAACAACACAAAAGGAAGAGGAAAAGGAGGAGGGUCACAAGGAACCUGGAGCAUUUCCUAGUGGACUCAGGGAACAGGGCGGGAGACACCCUUCGCAGGGCACAAUCACAUAAACACUAUGGACAAUUUAGGGAUGCCAAUCAGCCUACAGCACAUAUCUUUGGACUGGGGGAGGAAACCAGAGUACCCGGAGGAAACCCCCAAAACAUGGGGAGAACGUUCAAGGCACACAGUGCGGAGGCAGGAAUCAAACCCCAACCCCAGAGAUGAGAAGAGUGUGGAGAGUCCAUGGGAGGUGUGAAUGGGAGCCUUCCUUCAACAGGCAUUUUACUGCGUUAAGAGAAACCACCAUUGUUUAUUGAUUAUUAUAUAGCUUACUCAAUACUAUAAGCUGCAUUACAACUCUAUUACCACUGUUGAGGCUGAUGAUACUCAUAUAUACCUGUGCUUUUGUCCAGAAUAUCUGUCAGAACACAUUGGUAUCCCAGCCUAAAUUAACGAUCACCAUUUCUCAACAUUUUGAAACCAGCAUUUAAAAAUUUUUUAUCCUGCCAAGUCCCUUACAUUAACAAAAGCUUUUCAGGAGAGAAACAUUUUAUCUCAUUGACUAUCAUCGACAAAUCUUAGGGUCAUGGUUGGUGACAAGACCAACUUCAUGGCAGUAUCUCAGUCUUGCUUUGCUCUAUUUAAUAUCAGGAAGAUCAGAGUUUUGUAAUACAUGACACAGCCUCUUGUCCAGACACUUGUCAUCUCUGUUGACAGAAUCAAAAUAUGAUUGUGAAAAUGUGUCUGGUCUUCAAUCUAUGAAAAUGUGCACUUCUUACUCACCUGGCAAGUUCAUGUCCUUCAUGCUUGUUUAUAGUGUAAUCCAGUUGUUCCUAACCCUAGUCCUGGAAUACCCCUGCCCAGCAUACUAUAUAUAUAUUUUAUGCUAUUUAUGCUAUUUCAUACUAUAUAUGUUUUAUCACAUCUAACCUACUAAUCAACUAAUUAUUAGGCCCUUCCAGGCCACUGGAGUAACCAGUAGAACCUUGCCUCCAUGGAGUCACUUGUCAGGAGAAAUCCAUCCUGAUUGCUAGGGUUUGCAAGUGGCAAUGAGACAAUAGAUAAUUGUAUCCCUUAGAAAAGUUUACAGUGACAUGUUUCAUUCAUUUUGAGUCACUGCUUUACCCUGACUAGGGUGGGUGUGGAUCUGGAGCACAGUGGGCUUUGAGGAAGUAAUAUGUGCUUACCAUUCACUAACCAUGCACUCAUACAAACCAAGAGCAAUUCAGCGUUGCUCAUCCACCUACUGGCAUGAAUUUGAGGGAGGAAACCGGAGGAAGGAAACCCAUGGACACAGAGAGAACAUGCAAAACUCUGCACAGACUCGAGCUUGGGAUCAGACCAGGGACCCUGGAGCUGCGAGACAUCAAGGCUACCCACUGUGCCAUCAUGCUGCCCUCACUGUGUGGUGUUGAAUCUAAAAUCAGACUUACUCAUGGUUGCAUGAUGGUGGUAUGAACUGCCAAAAUGUGUUUGCUCUUCAGCUUUCCUUGUGUUCAGUGGCUGUGCCUUCUGUUCUUGCUAUGGGCAUCUUGCACUUGCAUGUAUUCAGUGCAUAGAUGCUU